rnacentral:tRNA from 6 species
UCUAAUAUGGCAGACAAGUGCAAUGGAUUUAAGCUCCAUAUAUAAAGGUUUAUGCCUUUUGUUAGAA